UGUCGCAGCGCACUGACGGGGAGCUUGCUCCUACACAUGCUGCGUGGAAAGUCCCCGUGCCGCAAGGCAGAAAGUGCCAGCGGGAG
rnacentral:RNase_MRP_RNA from 14 species